GAUGCCUGGAUCGCCCUGGGCUUCUAGAGGAACCGACUCAUUCUGCUCCCCCCCCUCCCUUUCUAACCCCCUUUUGUGGUCCACAGGGUUGUUUUAAGCAAAACCAAACAACCCCUCCAAAAAAAAAAAAAAAAAAAAAUGCAAACGAAAAAUUCCGGGUAAAAGCAACUAUGCCGAGACCACGUUUUCGUUGAAGCUGCCCUAAGACCAAAGAAGCCGAGACCGACCUUGAAGGAUUAGCGAUUUCUGUAACUGAAAUGUUCUAAUUUUACUGACGUUUGGUGGAGACGGUGAGAAAGAAUACAUGAGAGUUUGGCUUGGAAAAGGACAAAACAAACGAAUAAUCAUAUCUAACUUGGUUAACUGAAAAAGCUAACAGCUGUAGUCCUGUCUUCUAGGUAGUGGUGUUUUGGAAAAUUACAAUAUACAAAAGUUAAGCGGGAUCCCUGGGUGGCGCAGCGGUUUGGUGCCUGCCUUUGGCCCAGGGCACGAUCCUGGAGACCUGGGAUCGAAUCCCACGUCGGGCUCCCAGUGCAUGGAGCCUGCUUCUCCCUCUGCCUCUGUCUCUGCCUCUCUCUCUCUCUGUGUGACUAUCAUAAAUAAAUAAAAAUUUAAAAAAAAAAUUUAAAAAAAAAAAAAAAAAAACAAAAGUUAAGCCACAGAUUAUUAAUUUUCUUGUUAAAAUCUAAUAUCUAUGGGUUAAAAUAUUGUUCUUUUCCUUCCAAUUUUCCCAUGAAAGUUUGAAAUACAACCUAUUAAAAGCCAACAGACUUAAUGGCAUUUACAAGUACGUAAAACAGGUUUUGCUGAUUUUUUUUAAAUAAUCUUACAGAUAAAUUAAGGAUAUCAGAGAGUUUGAUUUUAUGUAUAUAUAACUGAUUAGAGGUGGAAUAUUCAAACAAAUUCAUUUUGAAAACAAUACAAUUCAAGUAACUUGCCACAGAGUGGCCUUAUCAGAGUGACUAUGCAAUGUAAUAUGAAGUUGCAAGCUUUGGAUUUUGAAUUGAGCCAUGGAUAUACAAAUAUAAAUAUGCAAAUAAAUUACUGUUUUCAAAAAUCAAACUAGGGUGGAUAUAAAGUUAAGAAAGCAGAGUCUGUGGUGUAAAGGGAAGUCAAAGUAUUUAAAGCACUUGUAACCGGAAAAGCCUGUAUGAACCAGAAGAUAUCUAGAUUCACUAUAGUAAAUAGUUAACAUUUCUCUAAAAUAUGACUUCAGUAGUUAAUAUUUUGUCUUUGGAGGCAUAUACUGUUACCACUCUUUAUAAAAUGGAAAGACAAAGAGAUUUAGGCAAAGUAUACUGAGUCUAGCACUAGAAGACUCAAUGUGGAAAAUAUCUCCCCCUUUUUAUAUAUAUUCCAAAUUCUUGGAUCCCUUGUAUAAAUAAGUUUGGAUUUUUAUUGUAUAUUUAAUUAGGGAAUUGUACAGAGUAUCUUCUCUUUCAUAUGACUUUCAGUAGAACCUGUUUCAUAAUAAGACAAUUCUA
rnacentral:lncRNA from 1 species